GAAAUAGUGCUGCUUCAAUGUACCAUUGAUGAGCAGUUUCCUCCUACGCGAGUUGUCUUCUGCAAGAAUGGGCUGGAGGAGUUCAGCCUGAAAGCCCAGCAGGGAAAGGUCAUCUACACUAUGGACCUGAACAUCACCUCCAGAAGUGCUGGGACAUACACGUGUGGGUACCAGCAGAGGAACAAGGAAAACUGGGCGAGGAACUCUGCUCUCAGUGCUCCCCGGACCUUGUCUGUGGCAGGUGAGACACGGCCCCACGGCGGUGAGGGUAGAAGGUUUCAGAAAACUGCUGGGGCUAGAGCUGUGUGCUGCAGCAGAGAGGGCAUGGCUCUGGGGUGGUUCCCCCUCGGGACUGUUCCCUCUCCUCAGAGGCAGCCCCUACAGAGAGACAUGCCCGGAUUCUGCACACCCUCCCCACAGGCAGGGUGCUGGCAGUGGCGGCCGUCGGCCUUGUCCUCCUGGCUGCAGGCAGCUGGUUUUGCCAUCAGGAAAGGUGCCUGCAGAGGGAGAUGCCCAAGAGCCAUUCCAUUCCUCUCCAGGCAGCAGCACGUUGACAGCCCACAGACGGAAGACACCAACUAUGGUGACAUCCAGUGUGAGUACUACCUCCUCCCUUGGGGGAAGCCACAUGCUCCUCUCCCCAUGAGAAUCCUGUGCGAGCCCCCAUGCAAUCCCACUC
rnacentral:lncRNA from 1 species